rnacentral:misc_RNA from 1 species
AGCACUGUAAAGAUUGCCCAGGUAUGUCAUCCAUUUUCCUUGUUUAGUUUGUUAGUCUUAUCAAUUUUCUCCUUUUGUCAGUUGUUCAUUCUGGAAAACCGUGGAUCUGAUUGGUAAAGCUUUUUUGGCACAUUGCAUUGUUUACAUCGCUUUCAAAUGGUACCUCAACAGACGUAGAUAAGUAGGUUCUUUACCAUGACAAAAAAAAAGGUCCUUUGUUUAUGGUAAAAUUGAUCUUUGAAAAAUGGUGUCUGCAUAAUUCUUGCUACUACUCUUACAUGCUUGAUGGUAAUUGGUAGAAUGUUACAAUGGUGUUAUAUGAUGGUAAUUGGUAGAAUGUUACA